UCGACUCUGGGUUUGAACCAAAGCUCGACUCAUGGUUUGAACCAUUACUUAAUUCGUGGUUUGAACCAUCACUCGACUCCUGGUUCGAACCAUC
rnacentral:pre_miRNA from 7 species